rnacentral:tRNA from 1 species
GCCUGGGUGGCUCAGUCGGUGAAGCAUCUGACUUCGGCUCAGGUCAUGAUCUCACGUUUCGUGGGUUCGAGCCCUGCGUCAGGCU